rnacentral:rRNA from 1 species
GUGGGGAAUUUUGGACAAUGGGCGAAAGCCUGAUCCAGCAAUGCCGCGUGUGUGAAGAAGGCCUUCGGGUUGUAAAGCACUUUUGGCAGGGAAGAAACAGUGCGUGCUAAUACCAUGCGCGAAUGACGGUACCUGCAGAAUAAGCACCGGCUAACUACGUGCCAGCAGCCGCGGUAAUACGUAGGGUGCAAGCGUUAAUCGGAAUUACUGGGCGUAAAGCGUGCGCAGGCGGCUUUGUAAGACGGAUGUGAAAGCCCCGGGCUCAACCUGGGAAGUGCAUUCGUGACUGCAAGGCUAAAGUGUGUCAGAGGGAGGUGGAAUUCCGCGUGUAGCAGUGAAAUGCGUAGAGAUGCGGAGGAACACCGAUGGCGAAGGCAGCCUCCUGGGAUAACACUGACGCUCAGGCACGAAAGCGUGGGGAGCAAACAGGAUUAGAAACCCCAGUAGUCC